rnacentral:rRNA from 1 species
CAGCCGCCACGGUAAUACGAAGGGGGCUAGCGUUGCUCGGAAUGACUGGGCGUAAAGGGCGCGUAGGCGGUUUUGACAGUCAGAUGUGAAAUUCCUGGGCUUAACCUGGGGGCUGCAUUUGAGACGUCAAGACUAGAGCGUGAGAGAGGGUUGUGGAAUUCCCAGUGUAGAGGUGAAAUUCGUAGAUAUUGGGAAGUACACCGGUGGCGAAGGCGGCAACCUGGCUCAUUGCUGACGCUGAGGCGCGAAAGCGUGGGGAGCAAACAGGAUUAGAUACCCCCGUAGUCCCUGUCUCUUAUAC